rnacentral:misc_RNA from 1 species
GAUGAAGAACGCAGCGAAAUGCGAUAAGUAAUGCGAAUUGCAGAAUCCGUGAGUCAUCGAAUCUUUGAACGCACAUUGCGCCCGCCAGUAUUCUGGCGGGCAUGCCUGUUCGAGCGUCAUUACAACCCUCAGGCCCCCGGGCCUGGCGUUGGGGAUCGGCGGAAGCCCCCUGUGGGCACAACGCCGUCCCCCAAAUACAGUGGCGGUCCCGCCGCAGCUUCCAUUGCGUAGUAGCUAACACCUCGCAACUGGAGAGCGGCGCGGCCACGCCGUAAAACACCCAACUUCUGAAUGUUGACCUCGAAUCAGGUAGGAAUACCCGCUGAACUUAAGCAUAUCAAUAAGCGGAGGA